AUGUGGGCGAAACUUCAGGAGAGAAUGCUUCUGGAACAUGGCCAUACAGCCUGGAAAGCUCACAAUGAUCCAGUGAUUCCGGUCAUGGAAGCCUUCAACAACACAAAUUGUUACAGUAUAUAUUUUCAGGAGACAGGAAUGAAGAAGGAGGGAGAAAGGAUGGGAUCCCACACCCGGAAAAAGCCCUGCAGACUUUCGCCUGUGGCCCUGUCCGUCUCCUUCUUCUCUUUCCCAUUCUUCCCCCUUUUCUUCCUCUCUCUCCAAAUCCCUCCCCUUCUUUCCAAGGAAGGAACUUCUCUUCUUCCCUUUGCUCUUUCGCAGGGAGGCUUCUCUGCCGCCACCGCCUCCUUCCUUUUUGCCAGCCAAGGGAAGGCGAUGCAGAAGGAGUUUUUUUUUCCUGUGGCAAAGUCAAGAGGAGCAGCCGAGGCCGGAGCCAGAGCAGCCUUGGGCCAAAGCCGGGCCUGCAGACCACAGAGGGUGGCCGUGGGCUUCCUGCAUGAAUUUUGCCCCAUUGUCCUGCCUCCCUCUUGAGCCUACAUACUUCUUCAUAUGCCCAUAUGGAGUCGGCCAGAUUUAUGGAAUGUUAAGAAGUAUGUAUCGUUGGGAUGGGAUUGGAACCGUCGACUUCAAAGUCCUACAAAGUUUCCUAUUGGCAAGAGGUGAAUGGGAAGCGUCACGGAAGGAGCGGAUGCCUACGCAUAUGUGUCCCUAGGGCUGGUAAAAAGGAACCAGAUCGACUGGCAACUGGAUUUGGUCCCCUUCAACCAGCUGUGGUGGCACGUGAAAGCAGCCGCUGGAAGCCUCACCGGGUUGCAAAAUCCUCUCCACACUGGAAUUACCGUAUUUAUUGUAUUGUAUUUUCUGCCUUUCUCCCAAGGUGGCACCUUGCCUAAGAUUAAAACAACAUGCAUUCAAAGCAAUACAUGACUUUUGUUGUUGUGUGUCUUUGGGGCAUUUCUGGCCACCUAAGAGGGCUUUUCUUGGCCUUUUAGUGCCCUGAUUUAUUUAUUUUGUGUCAAAAACAUUGCAUAAUAAAUAAGUUUAAAAGUGAUAAAAUAAAGGAAUCACAAACAGCUAAAUAGUUUUGGACCAAAAACGGGCAGCAGCAAUCGCAUUGUCUAUAGCUUUAAACAACUCCUCCUCCGUGCAUGAGGUAGGGCAUUGUGGGCAAGCAUGCAUACGCUGUUUCCCCGAAAAUAAGGCAUCCCCAGAAAAUAAGACCUAGUAGAGGUUUUGCUGAAUUGCUAAAUAUAAGGCCUCCCCCGAAAGUAAGACCUAGCAAAGUUUUUGUUUGGAAGCAUGCCUGCCGAACAGAAUGCCAGAGCUUGCAUGAUCGGUAAAUGUACGUACCAUAGAUUGUUAUACAUGGAAAUAAUGGUAGUAACAAGAAAUUCUUGAUAGGAUUCACAGCUUGUUUGGUUAUGCUGUUUUGUGAUGAGACUCGAUGAGAUAUUCAUUGAAAAAAUAGAACAAAAUGUGCUGUAGGAUGUCCCGCAAAAACAGAGUGUUUGCAAUUGAAUAAACUUUCCCUGUGUGUUUAUAAUAGAAUCAAUUAGAAAAUGACAUUUAUAACUCAGGAACAAAAAUCGUGUUACAUAGUGUUAUUACUCAGCGGUUCAACUGGGACGCUAGGUGGCAGCGAUGGAGUGCAAGAAGGAAGCAGUAAUGUGUUGUCGAAGGCUUUCAUGGCCGGGAUCACAGGGUUGUUGUAUGUCUUUCGGGCUGUGUGGCCAUGUUCCAGAAGUAUUCUCUCCUGAUAAUCUCCCUAAUUAGCAUUGGAAAGGUUUGUCUCUUGCCUGGGGGGCAUCCUUUGUUCAGAGUCAUUAGCCGUCCUUGGGGCUCCUCUGCCCUCAGAGUGUUGCUUCUCAUCUACUGUUCUGAUUUUUGAGUUUUUUUUAAUACUGGGAGCCAGAUUUUGUUCAUUUUCAUGGUUUCCUCCUUUCUGUUGAAGUUGUCCACAUGCUUGUGGAUUUCAAUGGCUUCUCUGUGUAGUUUGACAUGANNNNNNNNNNNNNNNNNNNNNNNNNNNNNNNNNNNNNNNNNNNNNNNNNNNNNNNNNNNNNNNNNNNNNNNNNNNNNNNNNNNNNNNNNNNNNNNNNNNNCCCAGGCAAGAGACAAACCUUUCCAAUGCUAAUUAGGGUGAUUAACUGAAACAUUAACGCUGGCUUCCAACUGACAAAGGACUCUUAUCACACCCUGGACUCUCCACAGAUAUAUAUUUACCUUCCUUGUCUAGUUUAUCCAUGCCUCAUAACCUCUGAGGAUGCCUGCCAUAGAUGUGGGCGAAACGUCAGGAGAUAAUACUUCUGGAACAUGGCCACACAGCCCGAAAGACAUACAACAACCCUGGAAGCAGUAACUUCUACAAGAAAUAAAUGGGAGUUUUAGAGCCAACUCAAAUAGUCUCUUUAAACUUGCAAUGGCCAACAUGUCCUCAAAAAAUACACCGAGGACUAGAAAGGUAUUGACAAGCAAGGAAGCAAAAUGAGUACUGUUUUUCAUUAUUAUCCGAGGUCCUAAAGAACACUUGUUUGGGUUUAAUUCCCUCUAUUCCAGUGAUAGUUGAUCACAGGAAUACAUGUGUUAAGAUGGUUGGUUCUGAAUACAAAUUUAAGGUGGUGUGGUGGGUUAAACCACUGAGCUAUUGAACUUGCUGACUGAAAGGUUGGUGGUUCGAAUCCUGGGAGCAGGGUGGGCACCUGCUGUUAGCCCCAACUUCUUUUUUUAUUUAAUAUUUUUAUUUGAUUUAUGUGAAAUAAAUACAUCAAUUGUUGGAGAACAACGUAUAGAUAGAUAGAUAGAUAGAUAGAUAGAUAGAUAGAUAGAUAGAAUAGAAAUCUAGAAAAUUUAAGAGAAAACAAGGGUAUGGGGGGGAGAGAGAGAGAGAAGGAGGAAAAAAAAUAAACACAAAAAACACAACUCCCCCCCCCCCCCCAAAAAAAAAAAACCUUUGUGUGUGUUGUGCUUUGGAGAUUCAUCCUUCGAUUUCUUGUUUUUUCCUGUUUAUUUAUUUCAGUCCUCCUUCUUUAAAAUGAUCUUUAUAUAUAAGGCAGAUCUAUGUCAAAGUCCAGUUUUCUUUUCCUCAUGAAUUCUGCAAAAUUUGUCCGGUCUGUUUUAUUUUUCCUGUCUCUUAUCCUUUGUGUUAGGAUAUCCAUUUGUAUAAUAGCCAGUACUUUGAGUAUCCAUUCUUCUGUAGUUGGAGUCUUUUUUCCCUUUCCAUACUUUUGCCAGUACAAGUCUGGCUGCAGUACUGAUGUAAAAGAACAUCCUAUCUUGGCUUUUAUUUAAUGUGGAGUUAGAAAACCCUAAUAAAUACAUUUCUGGUUCUAAUUUAAAUGUAAUUUUUAUUAUCUCUUGUGUCAUUUGAUGUACUGUUAGCCCCAGCUUCUGUCAACCUAGCAGUUCAAAAACAGGCAAGUAGAUCAAUAGGUACUGCUCCGGCGGGAAGAUAACAGCACUCCAUGUAAUCAAGCUGGCCACAUGACCUUUGACUGUAUAUGCCAGGGGUCCCCAAACUAAGGCCCGGGGGCCGGAUGUGGCCCUCCAAGGUCAUUUACCUGGCCCCCGCCCUCAGUUUUAUAAUAUAUUUUAUAUCAGUUUUAAUAAUAUAAUAUAUUGUAUAUACAUAUAAUAUUGAUAAUAAUCUUAUGUUAUACAAUAUAAUACUAAUAGUAAUACCAUAUAAUAAUAUUAAUUAUAUGUUAUAUAUUACAUAUUAUAUAAUAGUAUAGUGGUAUAGUUCAAUAUAGUAAUAUAUAAUGCUAAUAUUGUGCUAAGCUAAUAAUAUAAUAUAUUGUAUGUACAUACAGCUGCUCUGAGUCCCCUUCGGGGUGAGAAGGGUGGGAUAUAAAUGUAGUAAAUAAAUGCAGUAAAUAAAUAGUUAAUUUUAGACUUAGGCUCGGGCAAAGUCUGGCAUUACUUGAAGGCACACAACAGCAACAACAAUCCUAAUUAACUUGACUAUCUCAUUGGCCAGUAGCAGGCCCACACUUUCAAUUGAAAUCCUAAUAGGUUUAUGUUGGUUAAAAUUGUUUUCAUUUUUAAGUACUGUAUUGUUCUUUCAUUGUUGUUGUUUUGCACUACAAAUAAGACAUGUGCAGUAUGCAUAGGAAUUUGUUUGUAUUUUUUUUUCAAAUGAUAAUUCGGCCCCUCAACAGUCUGAAAGAUUGUGGACCGGCCCUCUGCUUAAAAAGUUUGGGGACCCCUGGUAUAUGCUGUGGUUUGCAACAUGCUUUCAGCCACAAAUGUCAUGUGUUGACACCUAAAACAAAACCAAGAAGUGUAAGCAUAUAUACAAUAAAAAUACUGUGAACGUUGGUUUUAUACGUUUAUGUUUUUCUUUAGCUUGUUUCCAUGAAUAACACUAUAUAAAGCAACAUUCUUCCUUGCUCCUCUCCACCUGAGAAAACCAGUUAUUUUUACUGGAUUCUUCCUCAAAGGGGAAUGAAAUGUGCUGUCAUUUUUGACUGAAGAACCUUAAGAAUGAAGGCCCUCCAAGACUCCUGGGCCACAACAGCCCUGCUCUGUGGCUCCUUUGAAUUAAUGCAGUUUGAUGCCGCUUUAAAACAUUUAUAUUCCGCCCUUCUCACCCCGAAGGGACAUGAAAUAAUUAUAAGUAUACAAAAAUAUUAAAACAUUAAAAUCAUUAAACAUUAAAAUCAGUUAUAUCUACUUUAAAAUAAUCUGUUUAAACCAACUCAGGACACCAUGCUGGCUCCGGUUAGCAGAGUAGGUUUCCUAUUAUUAUUAUUACAUAUUAUAAUAUUAUAUAAUAUAUAAUAUAAUAUAGUUUUUUAUAUAUAUAUAUAUAUAUAUAUAUAUAUAUAUAUAUAUAUAUAUGAUAUUACCAUAUUAUAUAUCCAUUUUUAUAAUUUAUAAUAUUAUAUAUUAUAUCAUAUUAUAUAAUAUAGUUAUAUAUACAGUAGAGUCUCACUUAUCCAACACUCACUUAUCCAACAUUCUGGAUUAUCUAACGCAUUUUUACAGUCAAUGUUUUCAAUACAUCGUGAUAUUUUGGUGCUAAAUUCGUAAAUACAGUAAUUUCUACAUAGCAUUACUACAUAUUGAACUACUUUUUCUGUCAAAUUUGUUGUAUAACAUGAUGUUUUGGUGCUUAAUUUGUAAAAUCAUAAUCUAAUUUGAUGUUUAAUAGGCUUUUCCUUAAUCCCUCCUUAUUAUCCAACAUAUUCGCUUAUUCAACAUUCUGCCGGCCCGUUUAUGUUGGAUAAGUGAGACUCUACUGUAUAUAUAAUAUUACUAUAUUAUAGGUCCCUUUUAUCAUUUUAUAUUAUAUGUUAUAUAAUAUUAUAGUAAUAUAUAUAU
rnacentral:lncRNA from 1 species